AUUGAACGCUGGCGGCAGGCUUAACACAUGCAAGUCGAGCGGGGGAAGGUAGCUUGCUACCGGACCUAGCGGCGGACGGGUGAGUAAUGCUUAGGAAUCUCCCUAUUAGUGGGGGACAAAAUCUCGAAGGGGAUGCUAAUACCGCAUACGUCCUACGGGAGAAAGCAGGGGAUCUUCGGCCCUUGCGCUAAUAAAUGAGCUUAAGUCGGAUUAGCUAGUUGGUGGGGUAAAGGCCUACCAAGGCGACGAUCUGUAGCGGGUCUGAGAGGAUGAUCCGCCACACUGGGACUGAGACACGGCCCAGACUCCUACGGGAGGCAGCAGUGGGGAAUAUUGGACAAUGGGGGGAACCCUGAUCCAGCCAUGCCGCGUGUGUGAAGAAGGCCCUAUGGUUGUAAAGCACUUUAAGCGAGGAGGAGGCUACUUUAGUUAAUACCUAGAGAUAGUGGACGUUACUCGCAGAAUAAGCACCGGCUAACUCUGUGCCAGCCGCCGCCGUAA
rnacentral:rRNA from 1 species